GAUGAACGCUAGCGGCAGGCCUAACACCUGCAAGUCGAGCGGGGUGAUGGUGCUUGCACUAUCACUUAGCGGCGGACGGGUGAGUAAUGCUUAGGAAACUGCCUAUUAGUGGGGGACAACAUCUCGAAAGGGAUGCUAAUACCGCAUACGUCCUACGGGAGAAAGCAGGGGAUCACUUGUGACCUUGCGCUAAUAGAUGAGCCUAAGUCGGAUUAGCUAGUUGGUGGGGUAAAGGCCUACCAAGGCGACGAUCUGUAGCGGGUCUGAGAGGAUGAUCCGCCACACUGGGACUGAGACACGGCCCAGACUCCUACGGGAGGCAGCAGUGGGGAAUAUUGGACAAUGGGGGGAACCCUGAUCCAGCCAUGCCGCGUGUGUGAAGAAGGCCUUAUGGUUGUAAAGCACUUUAAGCGAGGAGGAGGCUCUUUUGGUUAAUACCCAAGAUGAGUGGACGUUACUCGCAGAACAAGCACCGGCUAACUCUGUGCCAGCCGCCGCGGUAAGAC
rnacentral:rRNA from 1 species